UCACCACCUACUCGGUGGUGCAGUUACUCGGCCCGGGCUCUACAGGCACCAGCCACAGAGUGGGGUGCAAGCUGGGUCUCACGCGCAGGAAACCGGGUUCACAAGGCAGCAGUCUUGGUGCAUACGCGCACAUCCGCACUGCUCCGUCGCGCCCCCUAGCGGCCUUUCUGGAUGUUGCACGUGCUGGCACCGCGCAUGCGCGGGCGUGGAAGCGCGUCGCCACUGAGUGUCGAGUGGGCGGGGCCUGUGCGCCCCGGCGCAAGAUCUUUUCGAGACCCUUCAAGUCCCCAGCUUUAUGUCUUGUUUCCGAGAUCUAGUGGGGCGUGAGGUAGUUGCACGCCAUUACCUCAGCCCAGCCGCCUCUCAGCUCCAGGAGGCCCAUGCACCUGCUCCUUACAGGCGGUCACCCUCACCCUCCAGCCAGAGGACACCUAGGAGCCCGAGGCCACCCGAGACCGUCUCACCUAUUGAUAAUGCCGACAUCCAACCAGUUCUCCAAAACUCAGCACAGUUAACACCCUCCACACCACGACGACGACGACGACGAAGAAGACGAUGAAGACGACGACGACGAAAGAGCUCAGCUUUGUGGACCUUCCCUACAUUUACUAUGUUUUCCUUCUGUUAUGGCAAUUUGUAUAUGCAACUUAUUUUCUUUGUUGGGCUGAAGUAGGAAACGUACUGUUAGUGGAUCUCUCCAGUUCCUAAUAGAGGAUCCUACACUUUGUAAGCACUGGAGAAUAAAUGCAUUCAGCUUUUUAUAGUGGACAGUGUUAAGUUUCAAACCCAGGACAAAGCUCUGAGGUGCCUACUUAACAUAUCAAAGCAGACCUGGUCAUCAGGUUCCCCAUUGUCCCUCAAUCCCUACGUUCCCAUGCACAAAUGUCCUCAUCAGAAAAUAAGAUGAUUAGACUCUGUUUGGAACAAGCCCUGUGACAGGGAUCUGAAUUCAGAGCACUGUGUGUCUUCCAUCAUUUUGUACUCAGGCUACUCAGAACCUUUUCCUUGUGCCGUGUCUAUGGCUGGCAUACUCUACCCCCUACGCAAACUCUCCAGCCAGCCAUUUUGGUUACUUGUCCCCUUGUACCUUUGCCCUCCUGGCUACUGUACCUUGGUUCCCUCUCUCCCCCUUGCAUCCCCUCCCCCCUUGCCACGUGGCCAAGCUCUGUCUAGUCUUGUUCACUCUGGACUUUCUCAGAUUGUCUCCACCUCCGGCUGUGCUCUCCCACAUGUCUAUAAUAAACUUUCUCCUCCACCAUACCCAA